UUUGGGUAGAAAUAGAAAAUCUGUUGCCACCAUAAAGAAAAAUCUGCGGUAUGGAAAACAAAUCAGUGACAGAUUUGGUUUCAACAUUCUUAAUUUUGAAAUUUAAAUAAAAUCUGUGGAGACUAUAUGAAACAAAUCAGUCACAGUAAAAAAAUCUGCGAAAAAAUAAAAAUCUGGCGUAACAUAACACAGUAAAGUUUGUGGUACAAAACAAGUCUGAUGUAAAAAAUUUGUGGUUGACCAAAAAAUCUGUGAUCGAUAACAAAUCCGUCGCAACAAGAGCCACAAAUUUACCAAAAACGACGAUGACAUUUUCGUAAAUAAAUGUGGUUUUAUUGCCAUGCUGGAAUUAAAUAGUAAUGGCAUUUCUGUAAUAUUGUUUUUCUGUAAAGGAAAACAGGGAUAUUUUUGGUUUAUUACUCAAAUAACCCAUUUUUUUAGCAUUCCUUUUGGGUCAUUAUGUAUAAAAUAUGGGUCACUCUAGUAAUUUUUCCUUAAUUAU
rnacentral:sRNA from 1 species